rnacentral:rRNA from 1 species
UACGUAGGUGGCAAGCGUUGUCCGGAUUUACUGGGUGUAAAGGGCGUGCAGCCGGGAAGACAAGUCAGAUGUGAAAUCCCGCGGCUCAACCGCGGAACUGCAUUUGAAACUGUUUUUCUUGAGUACCGGAGAGGUCAUCGGAAUUCCUUGUGUAGCGGUGAAAUGCGUAGAUAUAAGGAAGAACACCAGUGGCGAAGGCGGAUGACUGGACGGCAACUGACGGUGAGGUGCGAAAGCGUGGGGAGCAAACAGG